UACGAAGGGGGCUAGCGUUGCUCGGAAUUACUGGGCGUAAAGCGCACGUAGGCGGAUUGUUAAGUCAGGGGUGAAAUCCUGGAGCUCAACUCCAGAACUGCCUUUGAUACUGGCGACCUUGAGUCCGGGAGAGGUGAGUGGAACUGCGAGUGUAGAGGUGAAAUUCGUAGAUAUUCGCAAGAACACCAGUGGCGAAGGCGGCUCACUGGCCCGGUACUGACGCUGAGGUGCGAAAGCGUGGGGAGCAAACAGG
rnacentral:rRNA from 1 species